rnacentral:rRNA from 1 species
CAGUAGCCGCGGUAAUACGUAGGGUGCAAGCGUUAAUCGGAAUUACUGGGCGUAAAGGGCACGCAGGCGGUUAUUUAAGUGAGGUGUGAAAGCCCCGGGCUUAACCUGGGAAUUGCAUUUCAGACUGGGUAACUAGAGUACUUUAGGGAGGGGUAGAAUUCCACGUGUAGCGGUGAAAUGCGUAGAGAUGUGGAGGAAUACCGAAGGCGAAGGCAGCCCCUUGGGAAUGUACUGACGCUCAUGUGCGAAAGCGUGGGGAGCAAACAGGAUUAGAUACCCCCGUAGUCCCUGUCUCUUAUAC